GGCUCGGUAGGUAAGUUGGUAUAGCGCUCGUCUAGCAGACAAGAAUUCUGGGUUCGAAUCCCAGCCGAACAC
rfam:Aedes aegypti strain Liverpool supercont1.441 genomic scaffold, whole genome shotgun sequence.